rnacentral:rRNA from 1 species
GAUGAACGCUGGCGGCGUGCCUAAUACAUGCAAGUCGAGCGAACAGAUGAGGAGCUUGCUCCUCUGACGUUAGCGGCGGACGGGUGAGUAACACGUGGAUAACCUACCUAUAAGACUGGGAUAACUUCGGGAAACCGGAGCUAAUACCGGAUAAUAUAUUGAACCGCAUGGUUCAAUAGUGAAAGACGGUUUUGCUGUCACUUAUAGAUGGAUCCGCGCCGCAUUAGCUAGGUGGUAAGGUAACGGCUUACCAAGGCGACGAUGCGUAGCCGACCUGGGAGGCGGGUAGGCGACACUGGAGCGUGGACGGGGUCCAUACUACUGAGGGAGGGAGCAGUAGGGAAUGGGCCGCAGUGGGCGAAAGCCUUGCGGAGUGACGCCGAGUGAGUGAUAAAGGUGCUCGGAGCGUAAAACCCUGUUAUUGGGGAAGAACAACUGUGUCAGGAACUGUGCACGUCUUGACGGUACCUAGUCAGAAAGCACCGGCUAACUACGUG